AGUUUGAUCAUGGCUCAGAUUGAACGCUGGCGGCAUGCCUUACACAUGCAAGUCGAACGGCAGCACGGGAGCAAUCCUGGUGGCGAGUGGCGAACGGGUGAGUAAUACAUCGGAACGUGCCCAGUAGUGGGGGAUAACCCGGCGAAAGCCGGACUAAUACCGCAUACGACCUACGGGUGAAAGCAGGGGAUCGCAAGACCUUGCGCUAUCGGAGCGGCCGAUGUCAGAUUAGCUUGUUGGCGGGGUAAAAGCCCACCAAGGCGACGAUCUGUAGCUGGUCUGAGAGGACGACCAGCCACACUGGGACUGAGAGACGGCCCAGACUCCUACGGGAGGCAGCAGUGGGGAAUAUUGGACAAUGGGCGGAAGCCUGAUCCAGCAAUGCCGCGUGGAUGAAGAAGGUCUUCGGAUUGUAAAGUCCUUUCGGCGGGGACGAUGAUGACGGUACCCGCAGAAGAAGCCCCGGCUAACUUCGUGCCAGCAGCCGCGGUAAUACGAAGGGGGCUAGCGUUGCUCGGAAUGACUGGGCGUAAAGGGCGCGUAGGCGGACAUAUCAGUCAGGCGUGAAAUUCCU
rnacentral:rRNA from 1 species